UCGGAAAUUCAUAACUUCUUCAUACGAACUCCGUUUUCGACGUUCUUUAUAUCCACGGAAAGGUGAGACCACGCUCUACGACUUUCGUUUAGACUCCGUCGGCUAAUUUUGACUUUAUUUUUAUUAAUUAUUUUUAAUAGGCCGCGACAGAAACUUUCGUUAUAAAUUCAUAACUUCUUCGUUUGACGUCCGUUCUCGCCUAACUUUUUAUCGCUUCGAUACCAACAAUGAGAUCUUCGAUUCUCAUUUAGAUUGCUUCGGCUAACAACCGCUCGAUCUCAAAUCGAGUAAAACAGGCUGUAUACCGCUAAGCCGGAACUUCGAUAAAUCAUAACUUCCUCAUACGAAGUCAGAUUUGGGCGUUCUAUAUAUAUUCGGAAACCUCGUUUCAACUACUACAACAUUAACCAAAGAUAUUAAGUUUAUUUUACACUUAAAUUUUGACGCUUAUUUUUAUUCUUAAUUAAUCAAACCACAUAAUUAAGCAAUUAAGCACAAAACACAUAAUACUCAAAUAAUACAAUCUUAUUAUUUCAAAACGGGUUACAAAGGUUAACCUAGACUAUUACAUUGCUAAAAAUGGCAAGCCCGGAAACACAGGCGUUACAAUUCUCUCCACCUUAGAAUGAUUCCGUCCCCGGAAUCACACAUCAACAAACAAAUGCGGAUAGCGACUCAACAUGUCACUCUCCGUCUCCCAGGUGAGAUUCGGCCCAUUCGUGUGUUUCCAUCGGACAAGCACUAACCCAACCAUUUUGCGUCGCAACUUCUUAGUCUUUCGGUCAACAAUUGCCUCUGGUUCUUCAAUCAACCUUUUGUUCUCAUCAAUUCUCAAUUCAGAAAUUGGAAUUAUAUCGGGAACUUCUCCCGUGAACUUCCUCAAAUAACACACAUGAAAAGUGUUGUGAAUUCCAUUCAGUUCUUCGGGUAAUUCGAGCUUGUAAGCUUGGUUCCCAAUCCUCUGAAGAACUUUAAACGGUCCAAUAAACCUUGGACUCAACUUUCCCCUUUUACCAAAUCUUAUAAGUCCCUUCCACGGCGAGACUUUAAGCAAAACCGAAUCCCCAACCUCAAAAGUUAUCGGUCUCCGCUUCUUGUCAGCAUAGCUCUUUUGACGAUCCUGAGCUGCUAACAUUCUUUCCCUAAUUAUUUUCAACUUUUCAGCAGUUUGAUGAACCAACUCCGGUCCCAUAAACUGCUUUUCCCCAGCCUCAAGCCAACAAGACGGCGUACGACACUUCUGUCCAUACAAAGCUUGGUAAGGUGCCAUCUUAAUGCUCGAGUGGAAACUAUUAUUAUAGGAAAAUUCUACCAACGGUAAAUGUUCAUCCCAAUUACCUAGGAAUUCCAGAGUACAUGCUCUCAGCAUAUCUUCAAGUGUUUGUAUCGUUCGUUCGCUCUGACCAUCAGUCUGCGGAUGGUAAGCUGUACUUAAACACAACUUGGUACCCAAUUCCUCUUGUAGACUUUUCCAAAACCUCGAUGUGAAACGGCUAUCACGAUCCGACACAAUCGUUAACGGAACACCGUGAAGCCUCACAAUUUCCUUCACGUAAGAAUUCGCAAGCUUCUCCAUAGACCAUUUCUCCCUGGCCGCUAUGAAAUGCGCACUCUUAGUGAAUCGAUCAACGACCACCCAAAUCAUGUCGUGACCAUUCUUUGUUCUGGGCAGUUUAGUGACAAAAUCCAUAGCAAUGUCUUCCCACUUACCCAUAGGCACAGGCAAAGGUUCUAAACUCCCGUACGGUUUCUGAUGUUGUGUCUUGACUCUCGCACAAGUCACACACUCGGCCACAUACUUUGCAACAUCAAGCUUCAUCGUCGGCCACCAGUAGUAGGGUUUCAGGUCCCUAUACAUUUUAGUGCUACCCGGAUGAAUCGAGUACAUGGUCUUGUGAGCUUCUUCCAUCAGAAGAUCUCUGACUCCUCCUGUCUUAGGUAUCCAAAUCCGAUCUUGGAACACCUUCAGUCCAUGACUGUUUACACCGAACACCAACGUUUUGCCCAAACGUUCCUCCUUUCUGUCAUUCUUCUCAGAAGCUUCGCUCUGAGCUUUCUUUAUACUUUCCAAAAUAGUUGAGACAACUUCAAUUCUCAACGCUCUUGGCCUUUUCCUUUCGGGAUUGACUUUCCGACUGAGAGCAUCAGCAACAACAUUAGCUUUACCGGGGUGGUAAAGUAUCUCGCAGUCAUAGUCUUUAAGUAAUUCUAGCCAGCGUCGUUGCCUCAUAUUCAAUUCUUUCUGAUUAAAGAGGUAUUGGAGACUCUUAUGAUCAGUGAAAAGUUUGCACUUCGUGCCAUAGAGGUAAUGCCUCCAUAUUUUCAGAGCGAAAACUACCGCUGCCAACUCCAAAUCAUGAGUCGGGUAAUUCUUUUCAUGCUCUUUCAGCUGUCGAGACGCAUAUGCUAUCACCUUUUCUCUUUGGGUCAAAACACAACCCAAUCCAACACCAGACGCAUCGCUAUAGACAGCGAAGUCUUCAACUCCAUCGGGUAGAGAAAGUAUCGGUGCCUCGCAUAGCUUCUCCUUUAGCUUCUCAAAUGCUUCCUUAUGCUUCUCACCCCAAGCAUAAGUAGCUCCUUUGUGGGUCAAAGCUGACAAUGGACUAGCGAUCGAAGAAAAGCCUUGGAUAAACCUUCGGUAAUAUCCGGCUAAUCCUAAAAAGCUUCGAAUCUCCGUGGGACUUUUCGGUUGUUCCCACUUCGUCACAGCUUCGAUCUUCGCUGGAUCAACCAUUAUCCCUUCUUGGUUGACCACGUGACCCAAGAAUUGGACUUCACGAAUCCAAAAAUCACAUUUGGAGAACUUAGCAUACAGCUUCUCCUUCUUCAAAACUUCUAACACUUCUCGCAAGUGUCUGCCAUGCUCCUCCUGGCUUUUCGAGUAAAUCAGAAUGUCGUCUAUGAACACUAUCACGGAUUUAUCAAGGAACGGGUUACAAACCCUAUUCAUCAAAUCCAUGAACGCUGCUGGAGCAUUGGUUAGUCCAAACGACAUAACCAAGAACUCGUAGUGUCCAUAUCUAGUUCUGAAUGCAGUCUUCUCGAUAUCUUGCUCUCUUACUUUUAGCUGAUGAUAUCCUGACCUAAGAUCGAUCUUCGAGAAAUAGCUCGAACCUUGCAAUUGAUCAAACAGGUCAUCAAUCCUCGGCAACGGAUAUCUAUUCUUUAUUGUUGCCUUGUUCAGCUCUCUGUAAUCGAUGCACAUUCUCAUACUUCCAUCUUUCUUCUUUACAAAUAACACCGGAGCUCCCCAGGGCGAUGAACUAGGUCUAAUGAAACCGUUGUCCAAUAACUCCUGAAGUUGCAUCAUUAGCUCCUUCAUCUCCGUCGGUGCUAAUCGAUAAGGUGCUUUCGCAAUUGGCGUUGUUCCUGGCAACAAGUCAAUACGGAAUUCCACUUGUCGAUCAGGCGGUAAUCCAGGAAGAUCUUCGGGAAAUACUUCCGGAUAAUCACACACCACUGGAAUAUUCUGCAUCACCUUCUUUUCCUUCUUAGCAUCAAUCACGAAUGCUAAAUACGAUGUACACCCCUUGGUCAAACAUUUUCUGGCUUUCAUCAAUGAAAUGAUUCCAGAAUUCACUCUGCGUUUAUCUCCAUACACCAUAAACGAAUCUUUCCCAGGCGGGUUUACUUUGACUAUUUUCUUCUUGCAUAAAAUUUCGGCGUCGUUGGCGCUAAGCCAAUCCAUUCCCAAUACGAUGUCGAAACCAUUAAGUUCGAUAGGCAAUAAUUCCUCGUGGAACUUAUUCCCAUUCAGAUCAAUUAAGAUGUUUUUCAUGCGAUAGCUAACAGGUACAAACUUGCCACUAGCAACUUCGACUAAUAAAGCAUUAUCUAGUCUAACAACAGGCAAAGCUAGCUUUCUACCAAAUUCAUGCGAUAUAAAGGAGUAGUUGGCUCCAGAAUCAAAUAAAAUUUGGGCAGGCAAUUCGUUAACGAGAAAGGUACCUGAAGCGACAUCAGCUUCAUCUUUAGCAGCUUCCAGUGUCAUCUGGAAUGCUCUCGCCUUUGGCUUUGGCGGAAUGUUGGGUCUAGCUGCCUCCUUCUUCUUCGGGCAGUCCCUCGACAUAUGACCCUCCUCACCACAACCAUAGCAAACUUUCUUUGUGAGGGUACACUCAUUGGCAUAGUGCCCUGGCUUUCCACACUUGUAGCAUGUGUUCGCCACCUCACAUCUUCCAUGAUGCUUCUUCUUACAUUUGUCGCACCAUUUCGCUUCACCUCCACCUCCCCUCGAACCAGACUUCGAGAACUUGUUUUUCUUGUUGGACCCUGAAGUUCCAUCGAACUUCCUCUUUUCUCCAACAUCUAUUCUUUCCAGACCCUUUUCCUUCUGCUGGGCCUCCACAUUCUUAGCUGCACGAACAGCCGUUUUCAGAGUGGUUGCCAUUUUGACUGUCGGACCAAAGUCAGCAGGCAGUCCGUUAGCAAACCUCUCAAUCUUGGAGAGUUCCGUUGGCACUAGGUACGGAAACAACUUCAUCUUCUCAGUAAAUGCAGUAGCAUAGUCAUCUAUGCUCAUCUUCCCCUUCUUUAAGUUUUGAAACUCAUUGUUCAGAUCAAUCAGAUCUAUCUCCGAACAAUACUGCACCCUUAACUGUUCCAAGAACUCCUCCCAUGACAUUUUCAGGGCUUCUCCUCGUGGCAUAGUAUCUGCCAACAACUUCCACCAACUCAAGACUCCAGUCUUCAGUUGUCUAACCGCAAAGACGGUCUUCUGUUUGUUGCUACAGUCGCAACUUUCAAAUACCAUCUCCAUUUCGGAGAUCCAAUCCAUUAUCUCAACAGGCUUUGGGCUCCCAGAAAGACUUGGCGGUUUGGCGCCCAAGAAAUUCUUGUACAUACGCCCAUCCUUGUUGUUUCUCCUUUCUGGAUCGUUCCUUCGUUCCUCUUGAGUCCCAACUUGACUCACCAUGCGACUAUUGUUCCCUUCCUCCGAUUGCUCGGGAAUCAAUUCAGGUUCCUCAAUAGGUAUGACAGGUUCAUCCCUAUUAUUAUGCAACAUUUGUCGCAUCUCCUCCCUUUGUUCGGCUAGCAUAGCCCGAAUCAUGGCUUGCACCGCAGCCAUUGUUAUUGGUUCUGGUGCUGCUGCUACAACAGGUAUUUGCUCAAUCACUGGCGGUUGAUUCCUGUUUUCAUCUGCGUUUCCAACGCCACUCCUUGUUCUCACCAUUUUUGAUCUACACACCGAAUAAUUUCACCUUAUUACUCCAAACGAUUACAUGCUAGUUCUAAUAUCGUAUACAUACGCUUAGAAUCCUAAACACAUAAACCUUCAGAUCCGGUUGGCAACAAACCGUAGAUCCGAACAAAUAAUAUCAUAUAUGGCAACAUAUAACAUUUAGCACAUAAAAGCAUUUUAGGCAACUUUCCUAAAAUAAACUAGUGCUCGUGUCUAAAAUCCAACAGACACACAUCUCAAAAUUCCACUUAGCAUUCUAAGUUUAAGUCUAGAAAUCCUACAAAUUCCUAGUUCGCUUAAACUAAUGCUCUGAUACCAACUGUGACAUCCCCAAAAUCUCGGCCAGAAAAGACCGAUUUUCAUUUAUGCUUUUAAAUAUUUUCAGAGUAAAUCCUUUUGAUUUGAAAGAGUUGCGGAAUUUGUUCCCAAAACAAAACAUGAUAAAAUAAUAUUUAUCAAAGCAUUUCAUCAAGAGAUGCAUUUCAUUAUAUAAUCAAAACUCGGGAUGUCAUGUUCCGAUACAGACCAUAAAGCAUAAACGAUAAACAUUACAAGUCAUUCAACAAAUAUAUACAUAUACAGACUUGUAAACAAAACAACAAGAUGAUCCAUCCAUCUUACGCCCUUGUGCCACUUCCUGUAAUACAAAUAAAACUGAGUGGGUCAGGCUUGGGAGCCUGGUGAGCAUAUAGGGUUUUCAACCCACAAUAAAUAAGUUAUAUUUAAUUUCACCAACCAAUCACUAUCCCGAUUACCCAUUCCCGUUAUCCUCACUUUACGUCCCUAAAACAACUAUCUCAAGGGACCUAAUCUAGGAUUUUCAUCGGGACGGACAUCACUGCGAAGGGGUUUCCUCAACAAUAGAUAUCCUAAAGGCAACCAUGAGGGGGAUAGAGUACACCGGUGAACACAUCGUUCACAACACCUACAGGUUAUGAACCUGCUAGCGUUCCACUGGACUGUCUAGAAAGAGUCCGUGGUCGUUAUCCAUACUCCGCUGAAUAACUAGAUCAACAACAACAACAACAUCGAGGCCUCUCAUCUGUUUAUUACACACCAACUAUCUACCCAUGUUCUACCCAACAUAUUAGUAGAUAAAAAUAUAUAUUUUCAUACGUAGUUUAAAGAAAACCUGUAUAGCAUGCUUUAAUCAACACAUAUGUCACAUAACAGAUGAGACACACACACAUAACACAUAUCUCAUAAAGAAAUAAGCAGAUCUAUAAGAUAGAAGAGAGUGAAUACUCAUUCACACAUAACACAACCAAAUAUAUACACAUAGCACGUAUUUUUAUAUAAAAUACUUCGUAUUAUUGUAUUAGAAGAAAUAACUACACACUCACUUGAUCAGAAGACGAUCCGACAGCACUACGGCUUAUAGAAGUAGUAUUCCUCAGCAGAUCUGGAAGAUCUCCUCGAAAAUCGAACUUCUCGCGGGCAGAGCUUCGACUCGGGAACCGCGCUUCUCGGGAUCUUCGGGAUCUCGGGACUUGCCUCGGGGCUAGAGUAUGAUACCGGGACUUCGGGGUAGCUUCGGCACGAAAAACGAUGCAAAAGACUAGAGAGAAGAGAAGAAAAUGAACAACAAAAGAGGCUGCCUUCGGAUCCUUUACAUAGAGGCUGGAGCCUCGGAGUACGCGGGGCGUACAGGCGUACGCAGCGCGUACGCGUCCGAAAUCGUCAUUGCAUGCGUCAUCCGAAGUGUCGACACUAUCGGAGUUACGCGAUAGCGUAACCUCGUACGCGGGGCGUACUCCGGAUUACACCGGUGACACGGCUUCGGAUAAUACCUUCGAUUUAUAAUUAAAUUUAAUUACUAAAUGAUUAAUAAACUUCGGAAAUUCAUAACUUCUUCAUACGAACUCCGUUUUCGACGUUCUUUAUAUCCACGCGAAGGUGAGACCAUGCUCUACGACUUUCGUUUAGACUCCGUCGGCUAAUUUUGACUUUAUUUUUAUUAAUUAUUUUUAAUAGGCCGCGACAGAAACUUUCGUUAUAAAUUUAUAACUUCUUCGUUUGAUGUCCGUUCUCGCCUAACUUUUUAUCGCUUCGAUACCAACAAUGAGAUCUUUGAUUCUCAUUUAGAUUGCUUCGGCUAAAAACCGCUCGAUCUCAAUUCGAGUAUUUCAGGCUGUAUACCGCUAAGCCGGAACUUCGAUAAAUCAUAACUUCCUCAUACGAAGUCAGAUUUGGGCGUUCUAUAUAUAUUCGGAAACCUCGUUUCAACUACUACAACAUAGAUCAAAGAUAUUAAGUUUAUUUUACACUUAAAUUUUGAC
rnacentral:lncRNA from 1 species